rnacentral:lncRNA from 1 species
ACCCUAAACCCUAAAACUAGAGUUGAUGUUUUAGGGUUUAGAUUUGAAGGUUUGGGGUUUUAGGGUUUAGGGUUUAUGUUUAGGGUUUAGAGUUGAUGUUUUAGGGUUUAGAUUUGAAGGUUUAAGGUUUAAGGGUUUAGGUUCGAAUUUCAGAAAAAUAUAGGGUUUAGGGUUUACGGUUAGGAUUUAGAGUUGAUGUUUUAGGGUUUAGAUUUGAAGGUUUAGGGUUUAGAGUUGAUGUUUCGGGGUUUAGAGUUUAGAGUUGAUGUUUCAUGGUUUAGGGUUUAGAGUUGAUGAUUUAGGGUUUAAAGUUGAUGCUUUAAGUUUAGAUUUAGGAUUUAGGGUUUACGUCUAGGGUUUAGAGUUGAUGUUUUAAGGUUUAGAUUUGAAGGUUUAGGGUUUAGGGUUUAGAGUUGAUGUUUCGGAAUUCAUGAUUUAGAGUUGAUGUUUCAUGGUUUAGGGUUUACAGUUGAUGAUUUAGGGUUUAGAGUUGAUGUUUUAAGUUUAAAUUAGUUAACCAUAUGUUUUUUUUGUCAAAGUUAAUCAAAAGAUUAUAAAUAUUUUUUACUCUUCGUUAAAGAAGAGGGUAAAAGUGGUUAGUGUAAACAUGAAAAGAGGUAUUUUGAAAAUGGUAUUUUUGGCAAUUUCCUUAUAUACAUACGACGGAUCAUGUGAGAUAUAUGUUCUUUAAAACUAUUAUUAGUUGUGAUUUGAUUUGUUUUAACUGGUAUUGCAUAUUUUUAUUUGAUUUCCUUCGUAUGAUUACUACAUAUAUGCGAAUUUUCAGUUCGAAUAGAAACAAAUGACAAAUCUAAUAAAAUUUUAUUGAUAUUUUUCCCAACCUUAAUAUAUGGAAUUUACUAUAGAAAUAACCACAAUUCAAUAACCCACUAGAAAUGCAAACAAAAUCAGUCAUUCACUCAACUAUAUACAUUGAAAAAUCAUUUAUAGUACAAUUCUCAUAGACGCGUGUCUGUAAUUUCAUGGAAUGAAUAUUAUUUUGGUAGAUGUCACACAAGACCAUCUAAAUGUACAAAUUUUCUACGGUUCAUUUUUUGCAUCGAUGACCAGAUACACUCACUUAAUGACAAGAUGUCUCUCAGCCAGUAAUACGGAAGCUCACUAUGACAAAUGUCUGUAAGAUAUUUUUUGAAACAACAACACAAACAUAGAGUUCCAGCCGCUCUAAACAACGAUGACUUAUUCGUACAACAAUGAAAUUUACCUAUACAGCAUAAUAAUGUUUUUUGGUCAAAUACAACAAAAUAAUGUUAUGCAAAGAAAAUAUAGAUGUCUAAAAAACAUACUUUUUUUUUUUUUGUAACUACCGCAUACAAUAUUUUAUUUUCUAAUUCUUAUUAAUGGUUUUCUAAAAAACAUACUUGGACAAGGUAUAAUGGAUACAAGGCAAAAUAAAAUGAGACCAAUGCUGAACACACAACUAAUAGUUACAUAGAGUGAGAGUAACCAUGUUUCCACCUACUUGAUGAUUUUAAGAUCUCAAGAGCAAGAAUUAAGUGUCAUUGCAACAACUUAUAAAACACAAAUGUGCUAAUUGCUACUAUUACAUACAAAUGAUUUUUUUUGUAUGCAUCUAAAAUCUACAUCUUAAUAUCCUCAUUUCUUACACGCACAAACUAUUUCUCUUUUACACACACAAAACAUAUCCUCAUUUAGAAGCAUACAAAAAAAUUAAGUGUCAUUGCAACAACUUAGAAAACACAAAUGUGCUAAUUGCUACUAUUACGUACAAAUGAAUUUUU